rnacentral:rRNA from 1 species
UACGGGGGGGGCAAGCGUUGUUCGGAAUUACUGGGCGUAAAGGGCUCGUAGGCGGCCAACUAAGUCAGACGUGAAAUCCCUCGGCUUAACCGGGGAACUGCAUCUGAUACUGGAUGGCUUGAAUUCGGGAGAGGGAUGCGGAAUUCCAGGUGUAGCGGUGAAAUGCGUAGAUAUCUGGAGGAACACCGGUGGCGAAGGCGGCAUCCUGGACCGAAAUUGACGCUGAGGCGCGAAAGCCAGGGGAGCAAACGGG